rnacentral:rRNA from 1 species
GAUGAACGCUGGCGGCGUGCCUAAUACAUGCAAGUCGAGCGAACAGAUAAGGAGCUUGCUCCUUUGACGUUAGCGGCGGACGGGUGAGUUACACGUGGAUAACCUACCUAUAAGACUGGGAUAACUUCGGGAAACCGGAGCUAAUACCGGAUAACAUAUUGAACCGCAUGGUUCAAUAGUGAAAGGCGGCUUUGCUGUCACUUAUAGAUGGAUCCGCGCCGUAUUAGCUAGUUGGUAAGGUAACGGCUUACCAAGGCAACGAUACGUAGCCGACCUGAGAGGGUGAUCGGCCACACUGGAACUGAGACACGGUCCAGAAUCCUACGGGAGGCAGCAGUAGGGAAUCUUCCGCAAUGGGCGAAAGCCUGACGGAGCAACGCCGCGUGAGUGAUGAAGGUCUUCGGAUCGUAAAACUCUGUUAUCAGGGAAGAACAAAUGUGUAAGUAACUGUGCACAUCUUGACGGUACCUGAUCAGAAAGCCACGGCUAACUACGUG